CAAAACUGUGUGGAAUAAAGCAAAUAUACAUAAUUUUUCUUCCAAAUAAUGACAAAUUUCUGGAACAUUACAAGAUUUUCCACCGAUUUCAAUGCAGUAAAAAAAGUCAAAUGUUGUAAAAAUGCAGAUUUUCUUUCCCAUUAGCAUUAGCCUUAGCUAGCAGCUAAGUUAGCAUGCAAUCAUAGAUGAACCUGAAACAGUUUGGAAAACAAUAACUAAUAAUGAUUUAUGAUUAGUGGGUGGUAAAAAAGAAACCAAACAGGGGAUGAACUGCUAAUCGAUCGAUCAGUAAACAGUAGAGCUUCCUAAAGACGCUCUGAUUUGUGAUUUCUGUAAAAAUGUUGCCAACAUUUUACAGGAGAACUUGUUGGUGCAUGAAGACUUUCUUGUGCACAAACAGCAGCAGAGCUCCACUGACGUUCUUCUCCUGUUAUUAUGCAUUCACACAUAACAACCUGCAUGCAACCGCAAACGAAUGCACGCUAAGCCCGCUAAUAAAUAAUCCCACGCGGCCGCUGAGAGUCCAGCCACCCACUCGGCAUUAUGCAGAGUUUCCAUCUCCGGCGGCUCGCUGCCUCCUCUCUGGAGUCCUCUUUCUGGAGCAUUGUAAAUUGGUUUCACAAACCUUUGAUUAGACAAUCCCCCCCACUUCCAUUAUGUUUGCCGUCUAUGAGUGAUUGCCGCACGCUGAGAUAAAAGGCUAGCGGAGGAGCCGAGGCGAUGAGGCGGACGGGACUCGAUAAUGAAAUGAAAUGAGGCGUGAACGUUGUCUGUUGCCGUUAUCACUUAAGAAAGUGGAGAAACGGCGAAGAAGACCUGAGAGAUGUGAAUUCUGCGCCACCCUAAAGGUCUUCGCUUCGUCUGCAUGCUGCAGGCGUCACAGAGAAUUAAGAUUCAGGGUCUCUGAGGAGGAAAACCCGGCUGGGAAAGCUCUCUGGCUGUGGGAAGACGACAGAGCAGUUAGCAGGGUCCGCCUUUAAACAGCACAAGUCGUGUCGCAGGUCAGAGAUCGUCGCAUUUCAGGGUCGCAUUCAGCAGCAGCCUCCUCCUGAAGGAGUGGGAGGCAGAAACUAAACGAGGUUUGACGGCAACUGAACUGGAUUCAUGUUUGGUAGGAGAGUCAUCACCCCGUAACAAGUGUGAGCUACUGGAUGCCUGGAACUUUUGUAUGAUACAGGUUUUAAUGUUUCCUGAGAACAGAAUUAACGACGUUCAAACCUCAUAAAAAUACAGAAGGCGAACAUCUGGCUGCUGGUUGUUUACUGGACGUUUCUGCAGCUGCUUCUGUUCUCUGUCGAGUUCCUGCUGAACAUUUGGGACUUUUGGUGGUUUUCUAAAGCGCACAAACUCUGUAAGGUUUUUUAAAAAAUGUAACAGGAAGUGUGUAAAUGGUGUUGCAUAUUAGGUUUGAAAUGAUAAAAUAACAAAUGUACAAGUCACUUUGCACUAAUUUUAUAUUAUUUUAGAUACAUUUUGAAUCAUUUCAAACUAAUCUGGAAUCAUUUUGGACACAUUUUGUCUUAUUUUAAACACCUAUCAAGUCAUUUUAGACUCAAAGCUUUUUGGACAGGUUUUAGUCUUUUGGGGCUCAUUUGUAUAAUGAUUAAUUUAGUUACUUGAUUUAAAUAUUUGAUCAUUGUCAUUUUAGAUUAAGCUUCAGCUAUUUUGCACAAAUUUUGUGUUAUUUUACACAUUUCAGGCCAUUUUAGACUAAAUUUUACUCAUUUUGAACUAAUUUUGAGUCAUUUUAACCAUAAUUGUGUCAUUUUGGGAAGGUUCUAGUCAUUUCAAAUCAUUAUGAGUAAUGUUUGACAAGAUUUCAGAAAUUUUUGAAAACAUUGGAACUAUUUUGUACAAAUUUUGUAUUGUAGACACAUUUUUAAAGAAAUUCUCAACGCCUUUCAGUCAUUCUAGACACGUUUGUAUCAGUAAUUGACUGGAAUUGUGUCAUUUUGUACAACUUCUGUACUAUUUUAGACACAUAGACAACCUUUAAAUCAUUUGGACUAGCUUUAGUGUUUUUGGACUCACUUGUGUGAUACUAGACAGGAUCUGUGUCAUUCUAGACUAACUGAAGUCAUUUUUACUCUUUUUUUUUGACACAUUUUAAAGCAUUUUGGACCAGUUUUAGUGAUAUUCAACUAUUUUGUGUAAUAAAAAGAUUUGCACCGUU